UAAGGAAUAUUGGUCAAUGGACGCAAGUCUGAACCAGCCAUGCCGCGUGAAGGAUGAAGGUCCUCUGGAUUGUAAAAUUCUUUUAUCUGGGACGAAAACGGGAUUUUUAUCUCAAUUGACGGUACCAGAGGAAUAAGCACCGGCUAACUCCGUGCCAGCAGCCGCGGUAAUACGGAGGGUGCGAGCGUUAUCCGGAUUUACUGGGUUUAAAGGGUGCGUAGGUGGGCUUAUAAGUCAGUGGUGAAAUCUCCGAGCUUAACUUGGAAACUGCCGUUGAUACUAUAGGUCUUGAAUUAUCUGGAGGUAAGCGGAAUAUGUCAUGUAGCGGUGAAAUGCUUAGAUAUGACAUAGAACACCAAUUGCGAAGGCAGCUUACUACAUAUAAAUUGACGCUGAGGCACGAAAGCGUGGGGAUCAAACA
rnacentral:rRNA from 1 species